GAAGAGUUAGUCUAACAAGACAGUUGAUUUCGACUCAACAAAUUAUGGUCUAAUCCCAUAACUCUUCU
rnacentral:tRNA from 1 species